UCUGGAGGACUAAUCAGACCGAGUCUGGAGAGUGAGACUCGGGUGACAUGGCCUCCAAAAAAUAAAGAGGGAUGGAGAGAGCGGCCUCGCUUGCAGCAAAGCAAAGCGCCAACUGCGCCGUCCCACACUC
rnacentral:snoRNA from 1 species